CAGUAGCCGCGGGAAUACGUAGGUCCCGAGCGUUGUCCGGAUUUAUUGGGCGUAAAGCGAGCGCAGGCGGUUAGAUAAGUCUGAAGUUAAAGGCUGUGGCUUAACCAUAGUACGCUUUGGAAACUGUUUAACUUGAGUGCAAGAGGGGAGAGUGGAACUCCAUGUGUAGCGGUGAAAUGCGUAGAUAUAUGGAGGAACACCGGUGGCGAAAGCGGCUCUCUGGCUUGUAACUGACGCUGAGGCUCGAAAGCGUGGGGCGCAAACAGGAUUAGAGACCCCCGUAGUCCCUGUCUCUUAUACA
rnacentral:rRNA from 1 species